UGCAGUCGACGAUAGCUUUUGCUUUAGUGGCGAACGGGUGCGUAAUACGUGAGAAUCUGCCCUUAGGAGGAGAAUAACUUCUGGAAACGGUUGCUAAGUCUCCUUAUGCCGAGAGGUAAAAUAGUUUACACUGCCUAGGGAUGAGCUCACGCCUGAUUAGCUUGUUGGUAAGGUAAUGGCUUACCAAGGCCACGAUCAGUAGCUGGUUUGAGAGAACGAUCAGCCACAGUGGGACUGAGACACGGCCCAGACUCCUCCGGGAGGCAGCAGUGAGGAAUUUUCCGCAGUGGGCGAAAGCCUGACGGAGCAAUACCGCGUGAGGGAUGAAGGAUUUUGGUCUGUAAACCUCUUUUCUCAAGAAAGAAGUUCUGACGGUACUUGAGGAAUAAGCAUCGGCUAACUCCGUGCCAGCAGCCGCGGUAAUACGGGGGAUGCAAGCGUUAUCCGGAUUUAUUGGGCGUAAAGCGCCUGUAGGUUGUUUAAUAAGUCUGUUGUUAAAGACUAGGGCUUAACCCUAGGAAAGCAAUGGAAACUACUAGACCUGAGUAUGAUAGGGGUAGAGGGAAUUUCUAGUGUAGCGGUGAAAUGCGUAGAUAUUAGAAAGAACACCGGUGGCGAAGGCGCUCUACUGGAUCAUUACUGACACUCAGAGGCGAAAGCUAGGGUAGCAAAAGGGAUUAGAUACCCCUGUAGUCCUAGCCGUAAACGAUGGAUACUACGUGUUGCGUUUUUUAAUGCAGUUGGU
rnacentral:rRNA from 1 species